GGACCUCUAUGGAUCCAGAUCCAAAGCCUCAUCACUAGCAAGGGACUAUUUGGCCAUCAAAUCAACCCAACAAAGGCCACAAGAAACCCUAAAUCCAAUUAUACUUCACAAAACAGAAGAUGAGCCGAAAUCAUACCUCUAGAUCGAUGAUCUAAGCUUCAAAUCCACAGUAUAGCAACCUCCUUUGCUUCCUCUUGGCUAGAACCUCCCUCUCCUUUGCUAAACAACACACAAAUGUCAAGAAAUGCUUCCUUUCUCUCUCAAAAUGUUCAAGCACUCUAGGGUUUCUCUCUAUGGACUGGUGAGCACAAAUGACGGCCAUAAGGCCCUUUAAAUAGGUCUCAUACCCCGGAAAUUAGGGUUUCAUUAAAUAGCAUGGACUCGCCGAGUCCACCUUUUGGACUCGCCGAGUCCAAAAGCGAACCCACGUCCAAACCGCGAUCCUACUCGGCGAGUUUGAGCUCCAACUCGCCGAGUCCCCUUACAAAUCACCAAAAAUACAAGAAUAAAAUAAUACCUGGAAAUCCGGGCUGUUACAAUUCUCCCCCACUAGAACUAGACUUCGCCCUCGAAGUCUCGCUCUUAAAAUAACUCCGGAUGCUACUCACGCAUCUCACGUUCCGGCUCCCAGGUCAUCUCGGACCCCUUCCGAUGCUGCCACUGAACCAAAACCAAGGGUACCUCCUUGUUCCUCAGAGCCUUGAAUUUUCGAUCUCUGAUUGCCACUGGUCUCUCGGCAUAAUUCAGGCUCGCAUCCACCUGAAUAUCCUCCAACGGAACCACUGCCGACUCAUCGGCUUUACACUUCCGCAGCUGCAACACAUGGAAAGUGUCGUGAAUCUGCCCUAAUUAUGCUGGUAACUCUAAAUGAUAGGCUACCCGGCCUACCCUCGCGAUCACUCGAAAUGGACCAAUGAAUCGAGGUCCCAACUUGCCCCUCUUCCUAAAUCGAAUCACUCCUUUCCAAGGAGAGACCUUCAGGAGCACAAAGUCGCCGACCUGAAACUCAAGCUCGGACCGGCGUCUGUCCGCAUAACUCUUCUGACGACUCUGAGCGGUCAACAACCUCUGUCUGACCUGCUGGAUCUGCUCUGUCGUCUGAAGAACUAUCUCUGUACUGCCCAUCACGCGCUGACCCACCUCUCCCCAGCAUGGCGGUCCNUACAACAGCUCAAAGGGCGGCAUACCAAUGCUCGAAUGAUGGUUGUUGUUGUAGGAAAACUCUGCCAAGGGCAAGUACGUAUCCCAACUUCCCCCGAAAUCCAACACACAUGCCCGAAGCAUGUCCUCGAGCGUCUAAAUCGUCCACUUACGCUGUCCGUCCGUCUGGGGGUGAUAGGCGGUACUAAAAUGCAGCCUAGUACCCAACUCCUCAUGAAACUUCUUCCAGAAUCUGGAAGUGAAAUGCACAUCCCGGUCUGAGACAAUCGAGAUCGGCACCCCAUGUCGAGAUACCACUUCCCUCACGUACAACUCUGCUAACUUCUCUGCAGAAGAACUCUCGCUGAUAGCAAGGAAGUGAGCGCUUUUCGUCAAUCUGUCCACAAUCACCCAAAUUGCAUCAACUCCCGUAGCGGUCCUUGGCAAUUUGGUGAUAAAAUCCAUGGUGAUCUGUUCCCACUUCCAUUCGGGAACAUCCAGCGGCUGCAACUUCCCAUGCGGUCUCUGGUGCUCGGCCUUAACCCUACGACAGGUCAAGCACCUCUCAACAAACCACGCAACAUCCCUCUUUAUACAGGGCCACCAAUACUCUUUCCUCAGGUCCAAAUACAUUUUAGUGGCCCCCGGAUGAAUCGAAAAUUUCGACCGAUGAGCCUUCUCCAUCAAAAUGGUACGCGUUCCCCCCACAAACGGCACCCAGAUACGUCCCUGGAAUGUCAUAAGCCCCCGACCAUCGGUAACAAACUCUGAAAUCAAUCCAACAACUCGCUCCUUCUUCUGCAUCUCGGGUUGCACAGCCUCGGCCUGUGCCCCAUGAAUGGCGUCCAACACUGGAGUUAUCACGGUCAAUCUCAAACAUACAUCCCACAGUGGGGUGAUCUCCACCCUGCGGCUCAGUGCAUCGGCUACCACAUUAGCCUUGCCUGGGUGGUACAUGAUAUCACAAUCCUAAUCCUUAACCACAUCCAACCACCUUCUCUGACGCAUAUUUAGGUUGGGCUGAUCCAUCAAAUACUUCAAACUCUUGUGGUCCGUGUAUAUCGUACACCGAACCCCAUACAGGUAGUGACGCCAAAUCUUGAGAGCGAACACCACUGCCCCCAACUCUAUAUCAUGGCAGGGAUAUCUCGUCUCAUGAGGCUUCAGCUGCCUCGAUGCAUAUGCUAUCUCAUGCCCUCUCUGCAUCAGCACCGCUCCCAACCCCAAGAUCAACGCAUCACAGUAUACCACAAAGUCCUUCAUUCCCUCCGGGAGGGCUAACACCGGGUCCUGGGUCCCAUCAAACUCUGGUGUUUUUGUGUUGCUGAACUCUCGGAACAGCAACGCAUCACCACCCUGCGGCCUCGUGGAAGCAAUAGCUGCGGUGGCCGCUGCAACAGCAGCCUCAGAAAGAGCAGCAUAACGCUCAUCGAAAGUCUCAAUCAGCGUGGUCUUAAUAGACCCGAACAUCUCUGGUAUCUCUGCCCUGAUGGCCGCAGCCACCUCCUCGUGGAUGAUCUGACGGAUCUCCUCAUCACUAGCCCCACUGCUCUCUGGCAUAUGACGUGUCCUCACCAUGAUCAACCUCUGAAACACAACAUACGAUAAAUUAGAAUCCAUUCGAGCAUACACUCACUCGACAACUCUUCCCUCCUUGAUCCUUGGCAUUCCGAAGAUUCUUAUCUGGACUGUACACCGCUCCGGUGUUUUCAGUAGUACGGGCCCAAUACAACUGUCCGCACCGUUUCAGUAUACACCCCAAACCUUCCUCUUCGGACUCCAAAUCCCAAGUACUCUAUCACUCUCUAAAAGAUAUCUCAUAAGCUCCUCGCUGCUACCUAUUCACUCUCAAACAUCUCAUAGCAGCUCACCAUCUCCUAGGCUAAGGCAUCACAAAUCAGGGCACUCUAGUCCUAAUAGGAAUACCUAGCCUGCUCUAGCAAGAUAAUACAUCAUAUCAAUCUCAUAAACAUAUAAUAUAAGGGUAUUCUGGGAAAUCACCGUUCGGGCGCUGACUGAUCGUACACACGUUUCUGCUCUGAGUUUCUCUAAAGAUCUUUUACUUCUUUUAUAAAAUUUGGUUCUCUGUUGAAAAUAUUUUCCAAAUCCUCAGUUUGAGUUCAAAUACCCCCGAAGGUGUACCCGAAUCCCUCAAACCAAGGCUCUGAUACCAACUUGUAACACUGUAAAUUUCAAAACAAAUUUUCGAAUUUUAUAAAAACAUAAUUCACUUAAUAUUCAUAAAAACACCUAUGUUUGAAAUUCAAUCCUAGUCAUACAAAAUCCCAAGAUCUCAAAAUCGUAAAAUCCCAUGCGUGUGUACUGAUCAAGCCAGCGCCUUCCCACGGUCGUCACUAGUACCUGAAACAAAUAACACCAAACAUUGUAAGCACAAAGCUUAAUGAGUUCCCCAAAAUACCACAUAUAACAAAUAUGAGCCACUCGAGGCUAUAACUCUGUGGGUCCGUGCGCCCAAACUCUGUGAACCCUCAGGUUCUAACUCUAUAAACAUGCACAACAUAAAUCACAUAGAAUAAUGCAAUGCAACUCAUAACACAUAUAUAGCAUACAAACACUGUAUCACAUAAAUCUGGUAACCUACUCAAGGUAAAGUAUAGUGAGAAGACUCACCUCGUGUAUCUCAUUAACUCAUAAAUCCCUGAAUCACUCGUGCUCGGUCCCUCGAGCUAUAAUCCUCCUAUAUACAACACAUAUCUCUAAGUAACACUUUCAAGACUAAGGUUGACUAACCCUGCUAAGUCAACACUGGUCAACGGUCAACGGUCAACUUUGACCGGACUCGGCGAGUGCACCAAAGCGACUCGGCGAGUCUGAGCGCAUACACUGAUUUCCCUGAAAUCCUCACCUGACACGUCGAGUAUUCUCCUAACUCGACGAGUGUCACCUGGUAUGAGUUGUGGGGCUUCCACGACUCAACUCGCCGAGUCUCAAGAACAACUCGGCGAGUCCCAGCUUGACUCAGUCCACCUGUGAACCCACUCUGACUCUCCCUGACUCACUGAGUCAAUCCCUCAACUCGACAAGACCACUCGCUGAGUGGUGCUGGGAAAUCUUCAUGCUACUCGCCGAGUCUGUUCUUCGGACUCGGCGAGUUCAUGCCAUGCAAUGACUCAAACUCGCUCCUAAGGUCAGAUCUGUUCCACUAACUCAUAGAUCCAGUCCUUCCAAGCUCAUUUACCACGUAAAGUUGCUAUCUUGAUGUACAUACAACCUCUAUAUGACCAUAUAUGAUGAAUUAGCCACAAAUACCACAACUCAAGGUCAUAACCUCCAUUGUUCUUCAUAAAGCUUGAUGGAUGAGGCCCUCUGGACCUUUAUGGAUCCAGAUCCAAAGCCUCAUCACUAGCAAGGGACUAUUUGGCCAUCAAAUCAACCCAACAAAGGCCACAAGAAACCCUAAAUCCAAUUAUACUUCACAAAAUAGAAGAUGAGCCGAAAUCAUACCUCUAGAUCGAUGAUCUAAGCUUUAAAUCCACAAUAUAGCAACCUCCUUUGCUUCCUCUAGGCUAGAACCUCCCUCUCCUUUGCUAAACAACACACAAAGGUCAAGAAAUGCUUCCUUUCUCUCUCAAAACGUUCAAGCACUCUAGGGUUUCUCUCUAUGGACUGGUGAGCACAAAUGACGGCCAUAAGGCCCUUUAAAUAGGUCUCAUACCCCGGAAAUUAGGGUUUCAUUAAACAGUGUGGA
rnacentral:lncRNA from 1 species